rnacentral:rRNA from 1 species
UACGGGGGGAGCAAGCGUUGUUCGGAUUUACUGGGCGUAAAGGGCGCGUAGGCGGUAGCACAAGUCAGUUGUGAAAUCUCCGGGCUUAACUCGGAAAGGUCAACUGAUACUGUGCGACUAGAGUGCAGAAGGGGCAACUGGAAUUCUCGGUGUAGCGGUGAAAUGCGUAGAUAUCGAGAGGAACACCUGCGGCGAAGGCGGGUUGCUGGGCUGGCACUGACGCUGAUGCGCGAAAGCCAGGGGAGCGAACGGG